UAGUAUAUUACAAAAGCUGUAGACUCUACGUGGCCUACUCAGCCACCAACUCCACUCAACAUAUAUCUAUGAGACCUACGUACUAGCCAACUACGCCACCACCUUUGCUCCCCACUUUUCCCCCACCACCAAGUGCACCACUACUCUUUUUCUCACCAACUCCACUCAAAUAUUUAUUUGUUUGACACCAAAUAAGUGGGCUGUCACCUUUUCCACCGAAAGCCAUGCCUUUCACCUGUCAAUCAGCCAACAACUCUUCCCAUAUAAUCUCAUUAUCAGCCAGCAACUUCCUCAUAUUUUCUUUCCUCGUGCGCUGUCAUUCAAAGGGGAGGAAUUGAUUCGGCUGCUGUCAAGCUGGAAGAGUAUUUCCCCACUGUAUUCAACAACGCCAACCAAAAGAACAAACAUUCGCAAGGUAUUCAUUAUUUCAGUUUAUUCAAGUUCCGGCUAUAUGCAGCAUAUGCCCAGUUUUAGAAAUGCAUAGUAUGAGAGGAGAAGCAUGACCAUAUUAUCGACAUAGAACUCACUAGCAAACCAACAGAUUAUAUGAACUCAUUUUUAUGAGAAACAUAGAAUGCCAGUUCAUGCCAAUAAAUAAAUAAAAAAAAAAACUAAUAUGCAUAAAUGGCUAACCUUAGCAUAACUAUAUUUUACUGCUAGAUAAAUUCACUAACUGAGAAUCAAUGAGAAAAACCACCAAAAAUCCUAUCUUGCCCAAGCGGAGAUAAUUACAGCAAGAUAGAGAGUGAUACUUUCCUCUUAUGCUUAGAACCGAGCCAUUUGGGGCUCGGCUUAAGACGAGUUCAGCCGAGAGUCGCGACGGAGAGGAGGAGGCCGGAGCAGCGCCGCUCCCAGACGACAGCAGCCCGUCGGAUUUCGGACGAGGAUGCGGCCGCAGCAGCGACCUGGGUUUGACGAUUAGGGCUCUGCGAUGAAGGGAAAGGAGGCGGCACGAUCAACAAUUGCUCGCCGGUGGUUGGGACGGCCAGAGCAGCGGCA
rnacentral:lncRNA from 1 species